AUGGCAGGUACANAGGGGUGCUACCGGGUGACCGGAUGCCGAUCUCGAAAACCUGUCCCAGUUCGGACUGGAGUCUGCAACCCGACUCCACGAAGUUGGAUUCGCUAGUAAUCGCGCAUCAGCCAUGGCGCGGUGAAUACGUUCCCGGGCCUUGUACACACCGCCCGUCAAGCCAUGGGAGCCGGGGGCGCCUGAAGUCCGGGACCGCGAGGACCGGCCUAGGGCGAAACUGGUGACUGGGGCUAAGUCGUAACAAGGUAAC
rnacentral:rRNA from 1 species